rnacentral:rRNA from 1 species
UGGGGAAUUUUGGACAAUGGGCGAAAGCCUGAUCCAGCAAUGCCGCGUGUGUGAAGAAGGCCUUCGGGUUGUAAAGCACUUUUGUCCGGAAAGAAAUCCUUGGCUCUAAUACAGUCGGGGGAUGACGGUACCGGAAGAAUAAGCACCGGCUAACUACGUGCCAGCAGCCGCGGUAAUACGUAGGGUGCAAGCGUUAAUCGGAAUUACUGGGCGUAAAGCGUGCGCAGGCGGUUUGCUAAGACCGAUGUGAAAUCCCGGGCUCAACCUGGGAACUGCAUUGGUGACUGGCAGGCUAGAGUAUGGCAGGAGGGGGGUAGAAUUCCACGUGUAGCAGUGAAAUGCGUAGAGAUGUGGAGGAAUACCGAUGGCGAAGGCAGCCCCUGGGCCAAUACUGACGCUCAUGCACGAAAGCGUGGGGAGCAAACAGGAUUCAGAUACCCUGGUAGUCCACGCCCUAAACGAUGUCAACUAGUUGUUGGGGAUUCA